rnacentral:rRNA from 1 species
UACGUAGGGUGCAAGCGUUAAUCGGAAUUACUGGGCGUAAAGGGCGCGCAGGCGGCACUCUAAGUACGAUGUGAAAUCUCUCUGCUCAACGGAGAGGGUGCAUUGUAGACUAGGGAGCUAGAGGACGGUAGAGGGUGGUGGAAUUGCUGGUGUAGCGGUGAAAUGCGUAGAGAUCAGCAGGAACACCCGUGGCGAAGGCGGCCACCUGGGCCGAUACUGACGCUGAGGAGCGAAAGCGUGGGGAGCAAACAGG